rnacentral:rRNA from 1 species
UACGGAGGGUGCAAGCGUUAUCCGGAUUCACUGGGUUUAAAGGGUGCGUAGGAGGGCAGGGAAGUCAGUGGUGAAAUCUCCGGGCUUAACUCGGAAACUGCCGUUGAUACUCUCUGUCUUGAAUACCGUGGAGAUGAGCGGAAUAUGUCAUGUAGCGGUGAAAUGCUUAGAUAUGACAUAGAACACCGAUUGCGAAGGCAGCUCGUUACACGCAUAUUGACUCUGAGGCACGAAAGCGUGGGGAUCAAACAGG